rnacentral:misc_RNA from 1 species
AACCCUUGUGGAGGAGGACGCCGAAGGUGGGGCUAAUGACUGGGGUGAAGUCGUAACAAGGUAGCCGUACCGGAAGGUGCGGCUGGAUCACCUCCUAACAGGGAGACAACAAAAUGUUUAAUAUUAUUAUUUUGUCACCUUAGGUCGAUCGGUAUCUCACGUUCUUAAUUUAUUAAGGAUUUCAUUUCCUAAGUUUUUCUAGGUCACACCCAUUAUUUUCCCUGGGCCAUUAGCUCAGGUGGUUAGAGCGCACCCCUGAUAAGGGUGAGGUCCCUGGUUCAAGUCCAGGAUGGCCCAUAUCUCUAUGUUGGGGGUAUAGCUCAGUUGGUAGAGCGCCUGCUUUGCAAGCAGGAUGUCAGCGGUUCGAGUCCGCUUACCUCCACUGAUUACCACCUCUUCCAUAAUCUGUAGAAAGGGAAUUUUUUGAGUCGUGACCAAAUUCUGAAAGAAUCUAGCUUCCUAAUGAAAUCAUUAAGAUGCUGGACUCAUUGAAUUAAUUUCAUUGUUUUCAGAGAACCUUGACAACUGCAUAGAUUAUUUUUUAAAGACAAUAAGCAUCUUUAAUGAUGCAGAUUUAUUAUUUGUGCGAAUGCAUUAAAUAACAAUUCUAUUAAGCUGAUGCUUCAAUUUUUGAAGUUAUUGGUCAAGCUACAAAGGGCUCACGGAGGAUACCUAGGCACACAGAGGC